GUUUCUUUGCUAUCGAGGCAAAUUAGUUAAUACAGCAAUCAUUGCCGUUGUUUGUGUGAGAAUCGGUAGUAUCAGUAUGUAUACCGUAGCGUAUGAUAUGGACUCGUAUCGUAGCACUUUAAUGUGUAUCGCACCUGAGCAGAGAACUGACUGAAUGUCAUGGGAACUUCAAGAACCGUAACCAGAGAACAGGAGAAGCAUAGAAAGUUGCUAAGACGAAGGACAAAGAACAGAAAAUUAAUAUAGAGGGUACAAAAAGGGCAAGAAACACGCGAAUCUAGAUACACCACAGUUUGUGCCGUCGUUGUCGUGCCUGAGGACACCGUUGGAUUGUGGAGCGAAGACCGUUUCGUACCUUGCAAAUGAUCCGAUGUAACAGCGACCCAAACCGUAUUCCGCGGGCAUGACAGCAUUCCGCUGAAUUAAUUCCACUCACAACUAUGGAGUACCCGGAGAUUUAUGGCGUGCGCAAAGAACCAUGGCCUUGUCGUACAUCGAAGCCAGAGACGGAGCAGCAGCACCUGCGUUCGGCGGGCGGAACAAGACCGAGAAAUACCGCAACAUCACCCAGGUUUACUGGUUCUCGCCGCGGGGCUUCGAGACUUACGGAGCAAUUGGACCAGAAGCCAUCACCAGCAGCCAUCCGGCUGAUUGACGGGCUAGGAAAGAGGAUCCGGCAGCAAUCAGGCGAACCAGAACACUAGAGCUCUUGCGUCAACGGAUCAGCAUAAUCUAGCACGAACCACCAUUUUUGCUUCCUGCUGACCAUAGACAAACGAUGGUCAGUCGCUCGCGUUGGAGAUUUGUAAAACUGGAAAUCCAGUAGAGUGCUGCAGUUCCAGCAAUUAUCGUCCUUAUCAAAUUAACUGCUGGCAUUUUGGUACAUCUUGAACCAGCGUCCAGUCAAUUCGGCCACUUAAGAACAACGCGUGGUCCUUUUGCAUUGGUAGACUUCGAAGAAAACCGACAGUUUUGAUCUGAAGUUGUAUGUGUCGCGUUCCGCGCACCAGAUGCUUCUUCGGGAAGCGUCGAUAUUACAGUAUGCACGCAACGUCUGCCGGACGUCUUAGACGUCCGGACGGUUACAAUCGUGUAACUUUUAAUUAAUUUUUCUGUUUUAUUUAAUGGUUUUUCGUUGGGUCGCAGGUAUCGAUUUCUGCUUGGAUGUGUCAGUUCGAUUAAAUAUGUCAAUUCGUGGUUGGAUGUGUCAAUCCGAUUAGAGCGUUUGACAUCCAGUUGAAGCGUUUAAUAUCCAACUGAAGCGCUUCAGUUGGAUUUUAAUCGCUUUGAUGGCCAUUGAGCGCUACAGCGUCAUUAUCCGCCACCCGACGGACAGCCGGAAACACAUCACAUCCAGCGCUUGUCGUCCCAUUACAGGCACUGUUAAUGCUUCUGCACUGGAGUACUUUAAAAUGAAGCGGAGCGGAGCAGCAGUAUCGAAUGUAGUGUACCCUCGAUAAUGUGGAUCAGCAUAAUCCUCCGCCCGCGCGGUGCCAUGCGCGGCGCACAUCACCGGCCAGCAGCGAGCACAAGAUGGCCCCGCAGGCCGACCGACUUCCCGAUCACUGGUCUGCAGCUGCUAUGUUGGCGACAGUGCAGAACAUUUUCCUGCCGGUCCAGAGCAUUUUCUCGGUGACCUCUGCCAGUACCGGGCAUGUGAAAUUGUUCAGCCGGACAAUCAUCCGGCCAAAGCCUCCAAAAUCUCCGUUGUCUCUAACGGUCUGCACAGUGCUUUCCGCAUAUUUGGGCCAUUAAAACGGACGCGUAUGCCUACUCCGUCGGUCGGUUGUUGCUCGCGGCUCCAGGACAUAAAGGUCAUGACGGCGGUAUCAGUGCUGGUGCGUGGCCGAUCCGGUCAGCUCGUGCCAGCAGCCGAUGGGUCUUUCAGCUGGUCACUGAUCUUCAUCCAGUAGGUACGUUUUGCCCUUCUGGAUGCCUGCGGGAUUAAUUGAUGGCUUCCGUUUGGCUACUGUUGCUUGUUCUAAAGAGCUGGAAGAGUUAUUUUUAUUUAUUCUAGCUAGCUGAUAUUUUGAGUGCUUGCACAAGCGCGUUGAUAGAGAAUUAUAAUUAGGAUCAACAAUGGCAGCGAUAAAAAGAAUUAGGGAAGAGUAGCCUUAAUAGCUAAUUGCUGAUGGGACGGCUGCAAGCGCUGAGAUGAUCGUGGAAAUUCCAUCCAACGGUGGUGGCGGUGUGCUGAUUUCCUCCGCAUGUCACUAUUUGCGAUUUUUCGGUUUCACCAUUUCCUGAUUUUGCAGUUACGUGU